rnacentral:tRNA from 1 species
GGAUGUAACUCAGUGGUAGAGUACUUGCUUAGCAUGUGCAAGGCCCUGGGUUCAAUCCCCAACACUG